GUAAACUCGAGAAACCCUCCUCCUGCAUUUAAGAUCCAGAAUCCCAACUAUCAAAUGAAACGGCUGAUUGAAUAUCCCAUUAUCAAUUGAAAUCAAUAGAUCACAACUCGAACCAGGCGAUUACAUCUGUUAGGUUUCCCUCUCUGUUCCGAUGAAGAUGGUGGUGCCAGGAAGAGGAUUGCGGCUAUAUACGAGUAUCAUCUCUUUCACAAAACCUCAUCAUAACCCUAUUUUUCCUUCUCAUCGAGGUUUAUACUCUGGUAAAGUAUUCAUGAUUCGAAUUUAAGAUAUGUGUUAAUUUUUGUUUUGUUUAGUGUAACCUAAUUUGAACGAUUUGUAGAUGUCUCGUAUAAAUGUCGCUUGAAGUUUUUGUUCAUAUUACAAUCACCCCAUGACUCUAUUCUGGUGUUCUGCAAUUGCUUCAUCUUUUCGUAAGAUGAUUCUCAGAAGAUUUUUGUUGAUAUUGGUACGGGUCAUUUCAUUGAGAAUUAGGGUUUGUAUAUGGUGGACAAAGAGGUUAAUGUCAGUUGCUUGAAAAGCUAAAAAAGGAAUUAAGUCGUGAAGGUCAUUUCCUUCUUUGUUAAGAGGAGUACAUCAUUAAAUUGAAGGUAUGAGAUCUGGAUUUCAGAUUUUUCGCAGCUCUAUUAAUGGUGUGCAGACUAAAUUUUUAUUGUGAAGGGGGCAAAUUGUCAAGAAAUUUAUAACGAGGUAAGGUUCUGAACAUUCUUUUCCGGCGCUCACUACUUGUUAAAUAAAGUUGUUUUUUUAUUCAACGACAUAACGAACAAUUCAUCAUUAGAUGUUAAGAUUAUGCUCGUUAGCAGCUUCUUUGUUGAGGAAGGUUGAGUGGAU